rnacentral:rRNA from 1 species
CAUCCUCCAAGGCUAAAUACUCCUGACUGACCGAUAGUGAACCAGUACCGUGAGGGAAAGGCGAAAAGAACCCCGGCGAGGGGAGUGAAAAAGAACCUGAAACCGUGUACGUACAAGCAGUGGGAGCACAGGUUUACCUGUGUGACUGCGUACCUUUUGUAUAAUGGGUCAGCGACUUAUAUUCUGUAGCAAGGUUAACCGCAUAGGGGAGCCGGAGGGAAACCGAGUCUUAAUUGGGCGUUAAGUUGCAGGGUAUAGACCCGAAACCCGGUGAUCUAGCCAUGGGCAGGUUGAAGGUUGGGUAACACUAACUGGAGGACCGAACCGACUAAUGUUGAAAAAUUAGCGGAUGACCUGUGGCU